rnacentral:lncRNA from 1 species
AAAUUUGUCAAUUGACCCCUUAAGGGGUUAUUGUCCUUUAAUGACAAUUUUUCACAAUUUGUUCAUCAUAUUUGCUAACUUUAAAAAAUCUUCUCCUCUGAAACUACUGAAUGGAUUUGGAUGAAACUUAGCAUGAUUGUUCCUUAGAUUAUUCUGCACAAAGUGUGUGCUUCGAUUUUUGAUCCGUCAAAAAACAUGGCCGCUGUUACUUAAAAUAGAACAUAGGGGUCAAAUGCAGUUUUUGGCUUAUAUCUCAAAAACGAGAAGCAUUUAGAGCAAAUCUGACAUGGGGUAAAAAUGUUCAUUAGGUCAAGAUCUAUCAGCCCUGAAAUUUUCAGAUGAAUCAAACAAACCAUUGUUGGGUUGCUGCCACUUAAUUGGUAAUUUUAAGGAAAUUUUGCAGUUUUUGGUCAUUAUCUUGAAUAUUAUUAUAGAUAAAGAUAAACUGUAAACAGCAAAAAUGAUCAGCAAAGUAAGAUCUACAAAUAAGUUAAAUAUGAC